GCUAAUACCGCAUACACUCUGAGGAGGAAAGUAGGGGAUCGAAAGACCUUAUGCUUUUGGAGCGGCCGAUGUCUGAUUAGCUAGUUGGUAAGGUAAUGGCUUACCAAGGCAACGAUCAGUAGUUGGUCUGAGAGGACGACCAGCCACACUGGGACUGAGACACGGCCCAGACUCCUACGGGAGGCAGCAGUGGGGAAUUUUGGACAAUGGGCGCAAGCCUGAUCCAGCAAUGCCGCGUGAGUGAAGAAGGCCUUCGGGUUGUAAAGCUCUUUCAGUUGAGAAGAAAAGAUUGUGACUAAUAAUUGCAACUCAUGACGGUAUCAACAGAAGAAGCACCGGCUAACUACGUGCCAGCAGCCGCGGUAAUACGUAGGGUGCGAGCGUUAAUCGGAAUUACUGGGCGUAAAGGGUGCGCAGGCGGUUCUGUAAGUCAGAUGUGAAAUCCCCGGGCUUAACCUGGGAACUGCGUUUGAAACUA
rnacentral:rRNA from 1 species